rnacentral:rRNA from 1 species
GAUGAACGCUGGCGGCGUGCCUAAUACAUGCAAGUCGAGCGAACAGACGAGGAGCUUGCUCCUCUGACGUUAGCGGCGGACGGGUGAGUAACACGUGGAUAACCUACCUAUAAGACUGGGAUAACUUCGGGAAACCGGAGCUAAUACCGGAUAAUAUAUUGAACCGCAUGGUUCAAUAGUGAAAGACGGUUUUGCUGUCACUUAUAGAUGGAUCCGCGCCGCAUUAGCUAGUUGGUAAGGUAACGGCUUACCAAGGCAACGAUGCGUAGCCGACCCGAGAGGGUGAUCGGCCACACUGGAACUGAGACACGGUCCAGACUCCUACGGUAGGCAGCAGUAGGGACUCUUCCGCAAUGGGCGAAAGCCUGACGGAGCAACGCCGCGUGAGUGAUGAAGGUCUUCGGAUCGUAAAACUCUGUUAUUAGGGAAGAACAAAUGUGUAAGUAACUAUGCACGUCUUGACGGUACCUAAUCAGAAAGCCACGGCUAACUACGUG